CAGAGGCUGUGCCUGCCUCACUAUGAGCCCAGGGCUCCAUAGUUCUCUGUUUAAAAAAGGAAAUUCCUAAUGAUCCUGCGUAUGUUCGCUACCUGGGUAAUCACACCCAGAGACAGGAAGUAGAAUGGCGCCUGCUAGAGCUGAAGAAGGGGAGAGUGGAGACUCAGUUUUUGGGGACAGAAUUUCACUUGUGGAUGCCCUGAGUUAUAGGGGUCACUGUUGGAAGUGGAUCUCCUCCAAUCGGCCCCUUCCGGAAACCACUGAAAGCUGCCCUGCGAUUGUGUCUCACCUCACCGGAGCCUCAGUCUCUCCUUCUCCCGCUGCCUCCAUCCUCCUGGCUCAGCCCACCGCGUGCCAGACCUUUCGCUGCGUGGGUUUGCACCUGCCCGACCCUUCCCCUGCUGUCUCAGAGACGGCUUCUCCAGCGUCCGUGUCCCCUCCUGCGGCCUCGCCCGGCCGCACUGUGUCUGUCUGACUUCUCAUCAGUUUCUCCUGGCAUCCUGGUUUUUUUAAUUAUAAAAAUAUUCAGAUAUACACAUGAGCAGAGAGAUGAUAGUACCCUGGCCCCUCACAGACUCAUCAUAGGUAUUUCAUAAUUAGAAUUUUUCAUCUCGGUUUUACUGAGCCAGGAUUUUUUUUCUUGGCUGAUAUAUUUUAAGGCAAAUUCCAAACAUGAUGUCAUUUCAUUUUCACAGACUCAAGCAUACAUUUCCAAAGAGGAUCCGUGUUUUCUUACAUAACCACAACACCAGUAAGACACCUAGCAAAAUGAACGAUAAUUGUCAGUAUCAUUUCAUAGUCAGUUGAAGUCAUAUUUCCCCAGUGUCUCACAUGUGUCUUAAACCGUCAGCAUAAGUCACAAUCCAAGCCCAACACAUACACUGCAUCUGGUUCUUGGAUCCUUUGGUCUUUUCCAACCUGGAAGAGCCCCUUCCCUACCGUCUGUACUAUGGACUCUGAGUCAGUGCCCUCUACAGUUGCUGCACGCUCUGGAUUGGUCUGCACCUUCUUGGAGUCAUGUAAGGCCUGCUCUCUUCUCCAUGCUCCUUGUAGACAGAAUGAGCUCCAGAAGCUGAUGAGAUUACACAGGUGAUGCUGGAACUGCACCCUAGGACCUUCUCAUUGAGCUAUACCCCCAACCUUUCUUUUUACAAAAAGUUUUAUUUUGAGGCAAUCUCACUAAGCCUCUGAAUUGCCCUGACUGGGCUGCAACUUGUGAUCCUCCUGUCUCAGCCUGCCGAACUGGGGGAAUAUGCACCACCAUGCCUGAUGAUCAUCGUUUCUGGAAUCAGUUGCUUGGUUUGCGAUUGCAGAAUGCUGUACAUUCUCUAGCCAUUCACUGAGGAGGACACGGGGUGGGAAGGGCUGCAUAGUCUCUGGAGAGCUUUGAAACAACCAUAAAACAGAUGAAAAGUCCUCUGUGCUUUAUCAUCCCAUGCCCUUGCAAUCCUAGACGGUGUCAGCAGUGAAACACUCCUCCGAGCUGGAGCAGGGGACCCUGCCUUCCCUCCCCGACCUGGGCACACCCUGUCUACUCACCAGCAUCUUCCGGAAGGAAAGUUUCCAGGGCCAUUUAGUUGCCCGAAAAGACAACUCACUUGAUGGAAUAAAUACUUCAUUCUUUUAAUUUAA